rnacentral:rRNA from 1 species
AGCGAACGCUGGCGGCAGGCCUAACACAUGCAAGUCGAACGAACUCUUCGGAGUUAGUGGCGGACGGGGGCGUAACACGUGGGAACGUGCCUUUAGGUUCGGAAUAACUCAGGGAAACUUGUGCUAAUACCGAAUGUGCCCUUCGGGGGAAAGAUUUAUCGCCUUUAGAGCGGCCCGCGUCUGAUUAGCUAGUUGGUGAGGUAAAGGCUCACCAAGGCGACGAUCAGUAGCUGGUCUGAGAGGAUGAUCAGCCACAUUGGGACUGAGACACGGCCCAAACUCCUACGGGAGGCAGCAGUGGGGAAUCUUGCGCAAGGGGCGAAAGCCUGACGCAGCCAUGCCGCGUGAAUGAUGAAGGUCUUAGGAUUGUAAAAUUCUUUCACCGGGGACGAUAAUGACGGUACCCGGAGAAGAAGCCCCGGCUAACUUCGUG